rnacentral:tRNA from 1 species
GUCUUCGUAGUGUAAAUGGAAGCACGCUUGAUGCGUAUUCGGGAGGUCCGGAGUUCGAAUCCCGGCGAGGGCA